rnacentral:rRNA from 1 species
AACGAACGCUGGCGGCAUGCCUAACACAUGCAAGUCGAACGCGUGGAGCGAUCUGCGCGUGGCGCACGGGUGAGUAACGCGUGGGAACCUGCCCUUGGGUGCGGGAUAACCCGGCGAAAGCCGGGCUAAUACCGCCUACGCCCUGCGGGGGAAAGAUUUAUCGCCCAAGGAGGGGCCCGCGUCGGCUUAGCUAGUUGGUGAGGUAAUGGCUCACCAAGGCGAUGAUCCGUAGCUGGUCUGAGAGGAUGAUCAGCCACACUGGGACUGAGACACGGCCCAGACUCCUACGGGAGGCGGGAGUGGGGAAUAUUGGAAAGUGGGGGCAACCCUGAUCCAGCAAUGCGGCGUGGGCGAUGAAGGCCUUCGAGUUGUAAAGCCCUUUCGGCGGGGACGAUGAUGACGGUACCCGCAGAAGAAGCCCCGGCUAACUUCGUGCCAGCAGCCGCCGUAAAAC